GGGGAUAUGACAACGAUGCGAAUAUGAAAAGAAAAAGGAAUGGUACAAAAAUGGAUUUAAAUCAAAGAGCGCUUUAGUUACAGUCACUUACAGUGUCCAGCUCAGUGUUAAUUAAUUUUUUUUCUAAAAUAAAAAAAGGGGAGGGGGGCGGCAUUUUUAAACUUCGCACACAGGCGGCCGCAACCCUCGCGGCGGCCCUGCCCAUACUAGACACUCACUAGACA